GGGGUUGUGUCUCAGUGGUAGAGCACUUGCCUAGCAUGCAAGAGGCACUGGGUUCAAUCCUCAGCACCA
rnacentral:tRNA from 1 species